rnacentral:rRNA from 1 species
UACAGAGGUCCCAAGCGUUGUUCGGAUUCACUGGGCGUAAAGGGUGCGUAGGCGGUCGGGUAAGUCUGAUGUGAAAUCUCAGAGCUCAACUCUGAAACUGCAUUGGAUACUAUUCGGCUUGAGGUCUGGAGGGGGGACUGGAAUUCUCGGUGUAGCAGUGAAAUGCGUAGAUAUGCGGAGGAACACCGAUGGCGAAGGCAAUCCCCUGGGCCUGCACUGACGCUCAUGCACGAAAGCGUGGGGAGCAAACAGG